rnacentral:rRNA from 1 species
CUUAAUCACCAAUAUAAUUCAACAAUGUUCAUAACAAGACAUAACCCCGCACCAAAAACUAAACCAUUUUUUUACCUGAGUAUGGGAGACAGAAAAGGUUCUACCCCAAAGCAAUAGAAAAAGUACCGCAGGGGAAAGCUGAAAGAGAAAUGAAAUAACCCAUAUAAGCACUAAAAAACAAAGACUAAACCUU